rnacentral:rRNA from 1 species
UACGUAGGCAGCAAGCGUUGUUCGGAGUUACUGGGCGUAAAGGGUGUGUAGGCGGUUACUUAAGUUUGGUGUGAAAUCUCCCGGCUCAACUGGGAGGGUGCGCCGAAUACUGAGUGACUAGAGUGCGGGAGAGGAAAGUGGAAUUCCUGGUGUAGCGGUGAAAUGCGUAGAUAUCAGGAGGAACACCGGUGGUGUAGACGGCUUUCUGGACCGUAACUGACGCUGAGACACGAAAGCGUGGGUAGCAAACAGG